AGGGAAUCUUCCACAAUGGACGAAAAUCUGAUGGAGCAACGCCGCGUGAGUGAUGAAGGUUUUCGGAUCGUAAAACUCUGUUGUAAGGGCAGAACCAGAAGGUAGGCAAAUGACGUACCCUGACGGUACCUUUUUUAAAAGCCACCGCUAACUUCGUUCCAGCACCCGCGGUAAUACGUAGGUGGCAAGCGUUGUCCGGAAUUAUUGGGCGUAAAGCGCGCGCAGGUGGUUUCUUAAGUCUGAUGUGAAAACACACGGCUUAACCGUGGAGGGUCAUUGGAAACUGGGAGACUUGAGUGCAGAAGAGGAAAGUGGAAUUCCAAGUGUAGCGGUGAAAUGCGUAGAGAUUUGGAGGAACACCAGUGGCGAAGGCGACUUUCUGGUCUGCAACUGACGCUGAGGCGCGAAAGCAUGGGGAGCAAACA
rnacentral:rRNA from 1 species